rnacentral:rRNA from 1 species
AGAGUUCGAUCCUGGCUCAGGAUGAACGCUGGCGGCGCGCCUAACACAUGCAAGUCGAACGGCACCCCUCCUCGGAGGGAAGCGAGUGGCGAACGGCUGAGUAACACGUGGAGAACCUGCCCCCUCCCCCGGGAUAGCCGCCCGAAAGGACGGGUAAUACCGGAUACCCCGGGGUGCCGCAUGGCACCCCGGCUAAAGCCCCGACGGGAGGGGAUGGCUCCGCGGCCCAUCAGGUAGACGGCGGGGUGACGGCCCACCGUGCCGACAACGGGUAGCCGGGUUGAGAGACCGACCGGCCAGAUUGGGACUGAGACACGGCCCAGACUCCUACGGGAGGCAGCAGUGGGGAAUCUUGCGCAAUGGGGGGAACCCUGACGCAGCGACGCCGCGUGCGGGACGGAGGCCUUCGGGUCGUAAACCGCUUUCAGCAGGGAAGAGUCAAGACUGUACCUGCAGAAGAAGCCCCGGCUAACUACGUGCCAGCAGCCGCGGUAAUACGUAGGGGGCGAGCGUUAUCCGGAUUCAUUGGGCGUAAAGCGCGCGUAGGCGGCCCGGCAGGCCGGGGGUCGAAGCGGGGGGCUCAACCCCCCGAAGCCCCCGGAACCUCCGCGGCUUGGGUCCGGUAGGGGAGGGUGGAACACCCGGUGUAGCGGUGGAAUGCGCAGAUAUCGGGUGGAACACCGGUGGCGAAGGCGGCCCUCUGGGCCGAGACCGACGCUGAGGCGCGAAAGCUGGGGGAGCGAACAGGAUUAGAUACCCUGGUAGUCCCAGCCGUAAACGAUGGACGCUAGGUGUGGGGGGACGAUCCCCCCGUGCCGCAGCCAACGCAUUAAGCGUCCCGCCUGGGGAGUACGGCCGCAAGGCUAAAACUCAAAGGAAUUGACGGGGGCCC